rnacentral:misc_RNA from 1 species
GAUGAAGAACGUAGCAAAAUGCGAUAAGUAAUGUGAAUUGCAGAAUUCAGUGAAUCAUCGAAUCUUUGAACGCACAUUGCGCCCGCUGGUAUUCCGGCGGGCAUGCCUGUUCGAGCGUCAUUUCAACCCUCAAGCCCCCUGGUUUGGUGUUGGGGAUCGGCUCUGCCCUUCUGGGCGGUGCCGCCCCCGAAAUACAUUGGCGGUCUCGCUGCAGCCUCCAUUGCGUAGUAGCUAACACCUCGCAACUGGAACGCGGCGCGGCCAUGCCGUAAAACCCCAACUUCUGAAUGUUGACCUCGGAUCAGGUAGGAAUACCCGCUGAACUUAAGCAUAUCAAUAAGCGGAGGA